UACGUAGGGUGCAAGCGUUAAUCGGAAUUACUGGGCGUAAAGCGUGCGCAGGCGGCUUUGCAAGACAGAUGUGAAAUCCCCGGGCUUAACCUGGGAACUGCAUUUGUGACUGCAUGGCUGGAGUGCGGCAGAGGGGGAUGGAAUUCCGCGUGUAGCAGUGAAAUGCGUAGAUAUGCGGAGGAACACCGAUGGCGAAGGCAAUCCCCUGGGCCUGCACUGACGCUGAGGUGCGAAAGCGUGGGGAGCAAACAGG
rnacentral:rRNA from 1 species